ensembl:lncRNA
GUGUAGCAAAUAGACUUUAACAUAUAAUGAUUGCCAAAAAAUGGAGCUGUUCUGAUGGGAGACCAGUGGUUAUGCUUGAGUUUAAUACUCCCCAUGCUCUUGACUUUUUAUUUUUCUUUGUUACCUAGGCUGGAGUGCAGUGGCACUAUCUUAGCUCACUGCAACCUCUACCUCUCAGAUUCAGCCAUUGUCCCUAGGGACUGGAGAUGGAGUCUUGCUUUGUCACCAAGUCUGGAGUGCAAUGCCAUGAUCCAGGCUCACUAUAACUUCUGCCUCCUGAGUUCCAGCAACUCUCCUGCCUCAACCUUCCUAGUAGCUGGGAUUACAGGCAUGAGCCACCAUGCCUGGCUAAUUUUUUGUAUUUUUAGUAGAGACAGGGUUUCAUCAUGUUGGCCAGGCUGGUCUUGAACUCUUGUUCUCAAGUGAUCCACCUGCCUUGGCCUCCCAAAGUGUUGGGAUUACAGGAGUGAGCCACCGUGCCUGGCCACUCUACCCUCAAUACAACAGCUAGUACAAUCCUUUCACAGUGGAAUCAAGAUCAUAAUUACCUCUCUGUUCAAACUCUCCAGUGGCUUUGUUUUGUACAUGACCUGGCCCCUGCUACCUGUCUCACUGUUCUUUCUUCUACUCUCCUGCUCUUUCUCCUCUUUAUAAACACUGAGCUCAUGUUUCCUUUAGCAUGCUAGACAGGCUUGAUCCUGUCCUGUCUCUGGGCCUUGCUGUUUCCUCUGCCUGGAACAUUCUUCCCCUACUCUCUGCAUGGCUCACUCUCUCACUGCUUUGGAUUGUGGUUCAAAACUCACUUUAUCAAGGGCUUCCAGGCUGCACUGAGACUUUGCUCACUACCUGUGGAGCUCUGUCCUGCAGACCUUGUCUGAGCAAUGGAUGAAUGAAAUACUCUUUUACUUACAGAAUACAGUGCAAGAAUUGGGCUAAGGGAUCCUCAGCUGCUUUUAGAGGGUGAUUGCAGCUAAUUGACUACAACUCCUUGUUUCUUCUUGCAUUUAUUCAGUAUAGAUUUAAUAACAGGUUUUAAGUCAACAUAGUUGUGAAUAAUUAACGUGUAUAAUAGAGUGGAUUUAUGAAUCAUAAAAACCUUUGGUUCCAAGGCCCAGAAUAAACACCAUUAACUAGUAAUUCUUUUUUAACCUCCCCCGGGAGGGCCAUCUAGCACAAAGUUUAAAUGAGUAAACAGAGUAGAGACAAAGGAAUGUGGGGUAAACAGAUUUAACUGGGGAAGCUUUUAUUAUCUUAAUUUCCACCUUGUGACUUAAAGCUCUAAGAUAAGAACUGGCUGUCUUCAACCUGGCUCAUGAAAACAUUUUGGCUUUCCAAAAAGAUUUGAUACUGUAACCUAUAACUUCCCUAAUAUUUCCCUUAAUAGUUUGACAGCCACCCUGAGUGAAUCCCAACACUGCUCUGCAUAAAAUAUAUCCUUAAUUUAUAUUUUCUAUUUGAUGUCUGACUCCCCUCUGUCCUUCACUAAAAUGUAAACUCCAUAAGGGAAGGGAUUUUGUCUGUUUUGUUUUGUUGUAACCCUAAAUACCUAGAAGGUGCUCAGUGAAUACUUGUUGGUUGAAUCAAUAAAUCAGCCUAUUAUGGAAUCAGUCAAUGUCUUCUGUAGAAGGGACUUCUCCUACCAGUGGUGCAUAUCUGUGUGAUAGCUGGCGUAGGGAGGGAUGUGGUCGGAAUGGCUCUGUCUGUGUGGACUAGUUUUGCCUAGCAUGAUCCCAGCGGGCUCCUAUUGGGGCUAAGCCACAAUUUCAGUCAUAUUAGUAUCAUUCUUUAAUCAUAAAACCAGAGGAUGAAGAUUGGAAGUGAUCUGGGAGACUAUUC